CGUGACGACAGUAGGCGUGUGUGUGUGUGCGUGUGUGUGUGAGUGAUUUUAACACAGUAUUUGUUUGUGUUGAAACUGUUAGGUUCCUUCAGUUCAUCUGCAGUUGUCCGUGAAUAUGGCGCUUGUUUGGAGAAAUAUACUCAUACUUGUGUUUGCGCACUUCGUUGUGUCUCAUUUGUCUACUCGAUGUGGCGAACCAACAAAGUAUCCCGGCAAGCAGCUGCACAAAAGUUAUCGCCAUAAAUUAAAGUUCUAUGAUGGAGAAAGAGUGAUGUAUACAUGUCCCCCGGGUUACACACCAUCAGAAGGAAGUCUAACAUCACGGUGUCUGCGAGGACACUGGACAGCCUUGAACCUGAAAUGCCAAAAGAAAAAGUGCAAUGCGCUAGGUGACGUAGAGAAUGGGCAGUACAUUCGAGAAGGACAGUCAUUUGGCGAUAAAGCCAUUGCUACGUGUAAUAAAGGGUAUUUUAACCUUAUUUUCAUUUUUUUUAAAUGUCUGCAGUCCAUAAAUUGGUGAAAACAUGGUUA
rnacentral:lncRNA from 1 species